rnacentral:lncRNA from 1 species
UUCAUUGGCCCCAAGUGUACAUAUGUGUAUAUAUGUAUACCAAGUGUAUGUAUCGCGUUUUUAUCCGACGGAUUAUCGAGCGCCGACCGGCCGGUAGGCGAGCGUUAUAAUGCAUUGGAUUACACGGAAUGUCAAUUCCAACAAAAUUUGGAAACAGAGGGCAAGUCAGCUCUGACGAAAGGAUUCGCGCAAGCCAGUUGACCCCACGUCUGGUCUCUUCUAGAUUCUCCAUUUCCAUACCGCGUCCUUACCGCAUGAGAAAACAGACAAACGAAGAGAGAACGUGGUUAAAGCUGUCCCUUCUCUCUUCCGGCUAAAGUCGAUGAGGGGGACGUUGCACGUACCUCGUCGUCGUCGUCGUCGUCGUCGUCAUCGGCGUUCCGAGAGGUUGUUUCGAUCGUCGACGCGACGAAAGGUGGAACGGGAUGGAAGAGACGAACGAACUCGGAUCCUUGAGGUUAAGACCGAACGAACCAGAGAGAGCAGGAGAGAGAGAGAGAGAAACAGGGGGGGGGGGGGGAGGCAGAACGAGUCGCCAGAUGGGAUGCCGGAUGGGGUGCAGGCCAGUAAGAAUUCGUGGUCGCGAUGCAGGGGGUCAGGUGAGGCUAGUACAUGGCAAGAGGUUGUCCUCCUCAUCCUCGCGGGCGAGGUAGGCAGGCAGGCAGACCAGGCGAGGCCAGUGUGUAGGUAUUGAUUGCCCGGGGCGACGGAGGACCCCCCUUUUCAUGAGAGAGCUACGCGUCCUUCUCCAACAUCAGCAAGUCUCUCCCGACUAUAAACCCUGCUGGUAUACCGCCAGACACGGUGCUCUCACUUACGCACGAGCACCACAUCCGCGCUUUUACAAUUCCAACCACUGCAGAAGACCCGACCGCCUGAGCCCACAAACUUCGUUUUCACUGGGCUCUGUGUGCUGGGAAAGCGGGCAACACAUGCACACGUAUCGUAUACGUACAAAGUACAUGUUAAUGUGUUGGUGGUAACAGCGUUACGAUAAUGUCGCCCCACACACAUACGCGGAAAUGGCGAAGGGUGCAUUGCUCUUCGAUGGAUCUGAGAACGUUCAUCCCUUGGCUUGUGAUCUAUAUUCUAUUGCGCGUGUGGCAGGAUUAUAGAACUCUUCUCGUAAUAUCAGUGUGACUUGAAGUCUCGCGCAUUUGCGUAAACUGGUUCCUGAGUUUAUUAUUAUUAUCAUCAUCGUCAUCGUCAUCGUCAUCAUCGUCAUCAUCAUCAUCAUCAUCAUAUUGUUUUUAAUCAACGAAUCCGAUUGAUGGAGUUGUCUUCUUCAAGGGGGAAAAUGAGCAUCGCCAUUUGAAUUCGCUGAUUUUUAGGAUUAGAGGGUGGUUAAGGUGAAAGGCUUAUCGAUUUGAACUGGUUUUAAGGUAGUUGGGCAGUAAUUUCGGAAAUGUUUAAUUCACAUGAGUUUUGAUUAUAUAAUUUUUUGAAAAUAAUUUACCGUUUAGUUACUGAGUUUAUUCAUUUCAAAGUUGAGCUAUUUUAUCUUGUAUAGAUAGGGACUGGGAUAAAAACUGACAGUUUCGAGUUGGUUAUUUUAGAAUAAAAUUUUUAGGGCGGGGAAAAAAUAUCGAGUAAUGUAAUAUGGAUAUUUAGGAUUAAUAUAUCAAGUUUUUGUGAAUCUUGUACGUUAUUUAACAAUUAAAAACACAAUCUAAAAAAAAUUAAAAAUUCAAUGUAAUGUUGGUUAGGUUGUAGAUUUGGCAACGUCGCAGGUAUGCACAUUACGCGCGGUGUUCAAAUUAUUUAUUUUCUAUUGUUAAGAUAUGAUAUUGCUAAAACAUUUUUUUUUUUUUUUUGAUUUUUGCUAAUCUGCCCUUAAAUCGUAACUGACAUGACAUUUUGACUCGCAAAAAUAAAGGGUAUUGCGAGGUAAACAUCGAAGGUUCAAGCUGACUAAAACAAAAGAAAAUCACGCGACGUUGUCAAAUUUAUUUUCUGAAUAUUUGAAGAAUACAGUGCUCACGAUUAUCCGUCGGAUGGCGUUACUGUCGCUAUCCAAGUGCCUUAAAGCUGAUAGUCUCGUUUGUAGUGUCAUUGACAAACAGAUUGAAACAUAUCCUUUUAUUCAAUUGCAAAAUGAACAUAUACCAAGAUAUUCUAUAAACAGUACUAUUAUUGUAUAUAUUCACAUCAGUGUUGAAGUUUAAAUAAGACUACAUGUUUCUGUAACGAUUGUUCCACGUUUUUUUAACAUUUGGUAUAUAUCUGGUUUCUCUCACAGUAGAACACGCCGAUUUACGAAUAUUACAGGCCAUAGCUCUUCUCAAAUGAUACGAUUACAAUGCAAAAUGUUGAAAACGUUCCGAUCCCGCGAUCUUCGUCUCGUAGGCAUGCGGUAUAACGUGACUGAAUGGUUUUCAAUCCCGCUGUGUCACGUAGAAUAAAAUCCAACUUCAAACCUUCUCAGCGCCUGCACGUAAUGAUAUUUACGUCUGGUUUUUGGGUUGCGGUGAGGUGGGGAUGUAUCUGUAAAGUUUGGUGCAAUAGGCCUGAUUCAGGUCGUUAUUGAUUGUUGAGGCCUCGCAGGUAUAGAAGUCUGAUAUGCUGUCCUGGCACAAUGAGAAUACUUGAAACUUGAGAGGAGGGCAUGAAGAAAAAAGUACUGCAGGUUCGGCAGCUGACUGUCAAAAAUAAUAAUCACUGAAAUGGCUGACCUGUUUUCCGCUGUGCUGUUUCUUUGAAUGAAAUUUGAACCAUUCGUACGAUUGUUGGUUAUUUCCAAUCUCCGUCUGAUAAUGGAUAUAAUGGCAAUGAAAAAUAAUCUACCUUCGGAGGUCGAUUCUAAUUUUGCCAUCAGCUGCAGCGUGAGACUUGCAAAGAUCAGGUAACUAUUUCACCUAGGUAAUUCUGCGACACGAUACUUCUGUAUAUAAUAAUAUACAACCCAUCCAUAUUUUGUCAUUACACAUUAGACAUAUUACGUAACGACGUUUCGGCAUGAUAUUAUACUCGGACGACAGCAAACAUACGCUGAUUCUUAUACCACCACAGCUUUCAGACUUGUAUAAAAAGCUGCGUUGUAUCUGCGAACGU